GACCGCUCCGGUAGUCUAACUGGUUUGAUCGUCCGCCUCGGAUGCGGAUGGUCACGAAUUCGAACCCCGGCCGAGUCA